rnacentral:rRNA from 1 species
AUUGAACGCUGGCGGCAGGCCUAACACAUGCAAGUCGAGCGGAUGAAGGGAGCUUGCUCCUGGAUUCAGCGGCGGACGGGUGAGUAAUGCCUAGGAAUCUGCCUGGUAGUGGGGGAUAACGUCCGGAAACGGGCGCUAAUACCGCAUACGUCCUGAGGGAGAAAGUGGGGGAUCUUCGGACCUCACGCUAUCAGAUGAGCCUAGGUCGGAUUAGCUAGUUGGUGGGGUAAAGGCCUACCAAGGCGACGAUCCGUAACUGGUCUGAGAGGAUGAUCAGUCACACUGGAACUGAGACACGGUCCAGACUCCUACGGGAGGCAGCAGUGGGGAAUAUUGGACAAUGGGCGAAAGCCUGAUCCAGCCAUGCCGCGUGUGUGAAGAAGGUCUUCGGAUUGUAAAGCACUUUAAGUUGGGAGGAAGGGCAGUAAGUUAAUACCUGGCUGUUUGGACAUUACCAACAGAAUAAGCACCGGCUAACUUCGU